UUUCACCAAAAAACAUGUUUUCUGUAGUUCUGUUCCUGCUCUUAGCAGCUGGAUGUGUGAAGUGUGAACAGUUGACACAGCCGGCCUCUGUGACUGUGCAGCCGGGUCAGCGUCUGACCCUCACCUGUCAGGUCUCUUAUUCUGUUAGUAGCUACUACACAGCUUGGAUCAGACAGCCUGCAGGGAAAGCACUGGAAUGGAUUGGAAUGGCUGCUGGAUCUACAACAUACUACAAAGAUUCACUUAAAAGCAAGUUCAGCAUUUCCACAGACUCUUCCAGCAAAACAGUGACAUUAACUGGACAGAAUGUGCAGCCUGAAGACUCUGCUGUGUAUUACUGUGCCCGACAGCCACAGUAACACAAAGCAUCAGCAGCCCUUAACAAAAACCCCUCAGAGCCU